AAGUCGGUUUAGAUUGAUUUGGUUCACUUUCUGCCCAUAACAACGGCAGACGACGCCCCCCCCCCCCCUUUAGCCAAGCUCCUCGUGGCGAACGAAACCCUAAUCAUCACUCCUUGUGCACUUUUCCUCCUCUCUCGAAUUCGAUUCGGAAGCUCCUUGAUUCGCUCUCUGGAUUCGAUUCGAUUCGAUUCGUAAUCCGCCAUGGAUGCUCAACGAGCUCUGUUGGACGAACUUAUGGGCGCAGCUCGUAAUCUGACGGACGAAGAGAGAAGAGGAUUCAAGGAGAUUAAGUGGGAUGACAGAGAGGUCUGCGCUUUCUACAUGGUUCGAUUUUGUCCUCAUGACCUCUUCGUCAACACCAAAAGCGAUCUUGGUGCGUGCUCGAGGAUUCAUGAUCCCAAGCUCAAAGAGAGCUUUGAGAACUCUCCAAGGCAUGAUUCCUAUGUUCCUAAGUUCGAGGCUGAGCUUGUUCAGUUUUGCGAGAAGCUGGUGAAUGAUCUUGACAGGAAGGUAAGGCGUGGACAAGAACGCCUUGCCCAAGAGCUUGAACCUCCUCCUCCACCUUCUCUAUCUGGAGAGAAAGCUGAGCAGCUCGCUGUUUUGGAGGAGAAGAUUAAGAACCUUCUCGAACAAGUGGAAGCACUUGGUGAAGAAGGCAAAGUCGAUGAAGCUGAAGCCCUGAUGAGGAAGGUGGAAGGGCUUAAUACUGAGAAGGCAAUGUUGAUACAGCGACCAAAUGACAAGGUACUAGCGAUGGUACAAGAGAAGAAGAUGGCACUGUGUGAUGUUUGUGGUUCAUUCCUUGUCUCUAAUGAUGCUGUAGAAAGGACUCAGUCUCAUGUCACUGGGAAGCAGCAUGUUGGCUAUGGCAUGGUCCGGGAUUUUCUUGCUGAACAGAAGGCUGCUAAAGAUAAAGGAAGGGAAGAAGACAGGCUAGUCAGAGGGAAAGAAACAGAUGAUAAGAGGAAACCCAGGGAGAGGGAAAGCGAGAGUAGGAGGAGUGGUUCUAGGGAAAGAGAAAGACACCGUGAUCAUCGGGAUAGAGACAGAGAUGUGGACAGACACAGAGACCGUGGUAGAGAUCAUAGAAAGCCUUAUGACAGGAGAUCCAGGAGUGGGAGAGACGGUCGUGACCGAAGCAGGUCACGCUCUCCCCGUGGAAGGUCUGGUCACAGAAGGGUGUCGAGAAGUCCGGUUCGCCAGUACUAGUUUGAGAGACAACGUGUUGUCUCUUAUGUCUUGGGGCCUGGAACUUUGCAAACUCAUGAGGUAGAACUUGCGACUUUCUACUAAGUUUCAUUGGCAUGUGUGUUUUCUUUUUUAGAACUUGUUAAAAUUUGAAGGAUGAAAAUUGUCUUUCUACCCGUUCAGACAGCUAUUGUAAGAGUUUAAGACCUUUACCCAACCUCCAUCAGUUAUUUGUUAAGAGGUCAAAAGCGUUGAGACUACAGAAUCUAGUGGGCUCGAAUGACAGAUGCUAUAUUGAGGUAACAUUUAUACAAAACAGAAGUCAUAUUUAUUAGAGGUUGGGUUCAGUAAUUCUGUUUAUUCUUCGAGUUCUCUGUCUACACAUUUUGUGCUAGAGCAAUGUCAUAAAACGAGGAAGAUCUGCAUAUGUGUGAAGCAUUGUUUGAUGAUACCCUCAUGGAGCAUAUUGAUGGUCGUGGCUAUACCACAUUCUCCGCUAUUAUAUCAACCUUUUAGUCAUUUUUCAUCAAAUUAUUUCAUUGAGUCAUCGAUGAGAGGUUCAAAACAUUUGGACAACCAGAUGUUUGUGGACAUUAUUCGUCAUGCAACUAUGUUCGGGGUUAGUUAGACUUCCUGGAUUUUCAAAGCAAGACACAAGUCAAAUUCAUAGAUGGCGAAAAAAUAGAUCUAAUUAGCUGUUGUUUUGGUUCUCCUUUCUGGAAUCAGUCCACUAUUAUAUGUUUUAGUUUGAAGUGUAUCUCGUUUCUUCUUUGUUUAAAGAGGUAAAAUAAAUAGACCUUCAAUACC